UACGUAGGGUGCGAGCGUUUGUCCGGAAUUAUUGGGCGUAAAGAGCUCGUAGGCGGUUUGUCGCGUCUGCUGUGAAAGACCGGGGCUCAACUCCGGUUCUGCAGUGGGUACGGGCAGACUAGAGUGCAGUAGGGGAGACUGGAAUUCCUGGUGUAGCGGUGAAAUGCGCAGAUAUCAGGAGGAACACCGAUGGCGAAGGCAGGUCUCUGGGCUGUAACUGACGCUGGAGGAGCGAAAGCAUGGGGAGCGAACAGG
rnacentral:rRNA from 1 species